rnacentral:rRNA from 1 species
AUACGUAGGGGGCGAGCGUUGUCCGGAAUGAUUGGGCGUAAAGGGCGCGUAGGCGGCCCGGUAAGUCUGGAGUGAAAGUCCUGCUUUUAAGGUGGGAAUUGCUUUGGAUACUGUCGGGCUUGAGUGCAGGAGAGGUAAGUGGAAUUCCCUGUGUAGCGGUGAAAUGCGUAGAGAUUGGGAGGAACACCAGUGGCGAAGGCGACUUACUGGACUGUAACUGACGCUGAGGCGCGAAAGUGUGGGGAGCAAACAGGAUUAGAUACCCUGGUAGUCCACACUGUAAACGAUGAAUGCUAGGUGUAGGGGGUAUCGACCCCUUCUGUGCCGCAGUUAACACAAUAAGCAUUCCGCCUGGGGAGUACGGCCGCAAGGUUGAAACUCAAAGGAAUUGACGGGG